rnacentral:rRNA from 2 species
UGGGCGUAAGCGCGCGCAGGCGGUUUCUUAAGUCUGAUGUGAAAGCCCACGGCUCAACCGUGGAGGGUCAUUGGAAACUGGGGAACUUGAGUGCAGAAGAGAAAAGCGGAAUUCCACGUGUAGCGGUGAAAUGCGUAGAGAUGUGGAGGAACACCAGUGGCGAAGGCGGCUUUUUGGUCUGUAACUGACGCUGAGGCGCGAAAGCGUGGGGAGCAAACAGGAUUAGAUACCCUGGUAGUCCACGCCGUAAACGAUGAGUGCUAAGUGUUAGAGGGUUUCCGCCCUUUAGUGCUGCAGCUAACGCAUUAAGCACUCCGCCUGGGGAGUACGGUCGCAAGACUGAAACUCAAAGGAAUUGACGGGGGCCCGCACAAGCGGUGGAGCAUGUGGUUUAAUUCUAAGCAACGCGAAGAACCUUACCAGGUCUUGAGGUCCGCUGACAACUCUAGAGAUAGAGCGUUCCCCUUCGGGGGACAGAGUGACAGGUGGUGCAUGGUUGUC